rnacentral:rRNA from 1 species
UAAUAUACCGGUUCUCGUUAGAUCACCGAAGUCAAGCAUCAUUGGGCGCGGUCAGUACUUGGGUGGGUGACCACCUGGGAACACCGCGUGCCGU